UACGUAGGGUGCAAGCGUUGUCCGGAAUUAUUGGGCGUAAAGAGCGUGUAGGCGGCCAGAAAAGUCCGCUGUGAAAACUCGAGGCUCAACUUCGAGCUGUCGGUGGAAACUUUCUGGCUAGAGUCCGGAAGAGGAGAAUGGAAUUCCUGGUGUAGCGGUGAAAUGCGCAGAUAUCAGGAAGAACACCCGUGGCGAAGGCGGUUCUCUGGGACGGUACUGACGCUGAGACGCGAAAGCGUGGGGAGCGAACAGG
rnacentral:rRNA from 1 species